GAGCCCGGCACAAAGAUGGCGGCGCCGCCCCGCGGUGACGCCCGGAAGCGCUGUCCCCUUCCCGUGCCCAAGAUGGCGGUGGCGGCCCUGGCGGCGCAGGCCGGGCCCGGUGCCGGUGCCGGUGUCGGUGUGGCGGCGAUGGCGGCGCGCGGCGCCGAUGCCGAGGCGCUGUUCGAGGCGCACACGGCGGCCGAGCUGCGGGCGGUGGAGCGGCGGCUGCGCGCCGGCAUCGAGCAGAAGCGGGAGGAGCUGCGGCAGAUGGUGGGCGAGCGCUACCGCGACCUCAUCGAGGCGGCCGACACCAUCGCCGAGAUGCGGCGGAGCGCCGAGCGCCUGCUGGGCGCCGUGAGGGGGCUGCAGCGCGGCGGCACGGCCCGGCCCGGCCCCGCCGGCACGGCUCUCCCAGCGGCUCACCAGGGUUUCUACGGGGCGGCGGCGCAGCUGAAGCUGCUGCUGGAGGUUCCCGAGCAGGUGUGGGGCGCGGUGGAAGGCGGCCGCUACCUGCCCGCGGCCCGGCUGCACCUGCUGGGGGCUCACCUGCGCCGCCAGCUGCAGCUGGACACCCCCCGAGCCCGCUGCAGCGCCGUCCUCGCCCGCUUCCCCAUCCUGCUGCGGCAGGUGGCCGCUGCCAGCCACCUCAGAUCCACCAUCCUGCAGGAGAGCAAGGCCCUGCUGCGCUGCCCCACGGGCUCGGACCAGGCCGUGGCAGAAGCCCUGUGUGCCAUCAUGCUGCUGGAGGACAGCUCCCCACGGCAGGCCCUGGCUGACUUCCUGCUGGCCAGGAAACUGGCCAUCCAGCAGCUGCUCAACCAGCCACACCACGGCGCAGGUAUCAAAGCCCAGGUGUGCUCCCUGAUGGAGCUGCUCACCACCACGCUGUACCAGGCCCACGCUCUCUUCUACACCGUGCCCGAGGGGGUGGCCCCGGAGCCAGCCCUGCCCUGUGGCUUGCUCUUCUCCACCCUGGAGAGCAGCACGGGCCAGAACCCUGCAGGGAGAGGAGGGGUGCUGGAGGAGGAUCUGAAGCUGAGCAGCUGGUUCAAGUACUUGCCCGAGUCCGUGGUGGAAUUCCAGCCCGCCCUGCGGACCCUGGCACACCCCAUCAGCCAGGAGUACCUCAGGGAGACCCUGCAGCAGUGGAUCAGCAUGUGCAGCGAUGACAUCAGGACAGGGGUGAGGACCCUGCUGGUGUACGUGAAGAGCAUGAAGGGGCUGGCAGGGAUCCGUGAUGCCGUGUGGGAGCUGCUGUCCAGCGAGUCCAGCAGCCACAACUGGGAGGCUGUGUGCCGGCGCCUGCUGGACAGGCCUGUGUCCUUCUGGGAGGAGCUGCUGCAGCAGCUCUUCCUGGACAGGCUGCAGACUCUGACCAAAGAAGGCUUCGACUCCAUUUCAAGCAGCUCCAAGCAGCUGCUGGCUGUAGCCUUGCAGGAGUUGGAAGUGCAAGCUGGCAGCGGUGCCCUGAGCAAGCAGAUCCAGCUGGAGCACAACGUGGCCCUGUUCCUGUGGUCGGAGAGCCCCGGGGACCUGCCCGGGGACGCGGCGUGGGUCAGCGUGGGGCAGCGCGGGCCCUUCGCCAGGAGCGGGCUGGCCAUGAAGGCGCAGGCGCUCACCCCGUGCGUGCAGAGCUUCUGCUCCACGCUGGACUCCAAGCUGAAGGCCAGCCUGGAGGAUGUCCUGUCCUACCUCCCCAGGGACGACUCUGUCCCCAAGGAGCCCGCGGUGCCACCGCGCUCCGCCUUCGACCGCUUCGCCGACGCCGGCACCGUGCAGGGGCUGCUGCGCGACCGCUGCGUCACCUGCGUCCAGCACCUCCUGGGCUGCGUCCAGGAGCAGCUCCAGAGUGCCCAGAGCCAGCUGGACCCUCCUGGGGACACCAGGCUCAACGCCGUGCUCUUCAUGGCCAGGCUGUGCCAGGCCCUGCCCGAGCUGUGCCCUCACCUGCAGCGCUGUGUGCUGGGCCAGGCGGGUGGCAUGGAGUCACCGCCCAAGGAGCCGCGCUCUGCCAAGAAGCUGGGCAAGGGCAAAGCCCAGGAGGUGUCCCCCGAGCUGGCCAAGUGGCAGGGGGUGAAGGCAGAGCUCCUGCAGCAGAGCCUGGUGGCUUAUCAGCUCUGGAGCUCGGCUGUCACCAAAGGUCUGGUUCAGUGCUUCACCCACUCGUUGCUGCUCGACACAGCUGGCUCUGUCCUGGCCACUGCCACCAACUGGGACGAGAUUGAAAUCCAGGAGGAGACCGAGUCUGGGAGCAGCGUGACGUCCAAGAUCCGGCUGCCUGUGCAGCCCUCGUGGCACGUGCAGUGCCUCCUGUUCAGCCUGUGCCAGGAGGUGAACAGGGUUGGUGGGCACACCCUGCCCAAGGUCACCCUGCAGGAGCUGCUGAGGAGCUGCAUGGCAGAGGUGCUGGCUGCCUAUGGAAAGCUGGUGGAGCAGAAGCAGGAGAAGAGGCCAGACAGCUUCCCCCUGACCCAGAGCAGGGCUCUGCAGUUACUCUACGACCUGAGGUACCUGAGCAUCAUCCUGACAGCCAAGAGUGAGGACACAAAACCCAGCAGGAUCAAGCAGGACUCCGGGAUUGAGAAGAUCAUCGACUUCCUGGAGGGACACAUCGAUCCCUUCGACCUGGAUGUCUUCACCCCACACCUGAACAGCAACCUGAACCGCCUGGUGCAGAGAACCUCGGUUCUCUUUGGCCUGCUGACUGGGACAGAGAACCAGUACACGAGCAGGGGCGGCGCGCUGAGCUCGCAGGAGCUCCACAACAUCCUGCCCUUAGCAUCCAGCCAGAUCAGGUUUGGACUUCUGCCACUGAGCAUGUCGAGCUCGCGGAAGAGCAAGUCCACUGCCAGGAGCACAGAAAGAGUCCAGUGGGAUGCUGCCCUGUAACCCCGAGGAGGCCUGGCCAGGUACCCCAGCUGUGUGAGGAGUGUCCUGCUGCUCCCCUGCUGCUGAGCUGUAGCAGCCAAUCUUUCUGUUGCUCCAUUCCCCCCAGUUUAAAACAUCUGCUUAGGUGGAGCUCUGUGUGCUGGGUGAGAGCCAAGGAACACCUCACUGCUGUGGGAAGCAGCAAUUAAUGCUUCCUUUACUUAUUACCAGCCCAAUCUAUCCGUGGUGGUCUUGGCAACUGGGACAAGUUGUUGAGUUGACAAGAGCCAAGACAAAGGUAAAGGUCUGGUUUUACCAGUGUCAUUUGAGAUGAUGUUCAAUUUGCAACUCUCCUCCUCCACUUCUUGGAGCCCUUAAGGAUCAGACCCAGCAGAAGGGGUGUUUAAAAGCCCAGAACUUCCCAGCAAAGGUAUUCCUUACCUCUCACAGCUCAGCUGGACUAGAGCAUAGAAGUGUGCAGUGAUGUCUGGCUCGUUCUGUCACUCCCCUUAGCUGCUGUGCUGUGCUCAGCACACCCAUGUCCUGUGCUAGCCACACUUGGCAGGAUCCCUGACAGAUGCUUGCUCCUUCAAUGCUAAAACUCUCCUGGAAGGGUUAAAAUCUGCAGUUCUCCAAGAGCAGCUCCUGCAAGGGCACCAGCUGUGCUUCUACCACGCUGUGCUCCCUUGCUCUGAGAGCAGCAGCCCCUGCCCUGCUGCUCAGAGGGUUUUGAUGAGUUCAUCAGGGGUUUAUGAGCAUUGAGUGACAUCUGCCAAGUGCCUGUUGCCACCAGCAGCCAGGGCCAGGCUGCAGGCGCUGUGCUGCCCAGGGAGGACGAGGCACGGCCGGGCUCCCUGUUCCGGCAGCUCCUCACCGACGACGAGGACACGGUGGCACCGUCCCUCUUCAAGCUGGGCUGGCUCUCGGGCAUGACCAAGUGAG